rnacentral:lncRNA from 1 species
CUUUUCUGAUUUUAUAUAGUAGUAGUGUAGUACUAGUAAUUAUAAAAAUUAAAAUAAAUUAUCACUGCACGCAUUAAAUGGAUCCAACAGAACGUGAGGUUCCAUAUUGUCUAAAUUAAUAAUUUACACCUUUUUGGAAUAUAUCGGAGAAUGAAAGUCUCCGUUGAUUCUACCAAUCCGUUGACGUUCAUAUCUCUUUGUCACACAUUCUAUUUUUUUUAAAUCAUUAUUUAUUUAUUUAUUUUUCUUACGUUAUAGACUUGUAGUAUAUAUAAAUCUGCAUCUUGUCUUA